AGGUCUUGCCUGCCCAGUGACAAGUUAAACGGCCGCGGUAUUCUGACCGUGCGAAGGUAGCGCAAUCACUUGUCUUUUAAAUGAAGACCUGUAUGAAUGGCGGAACGAGGGCUUAACUGUCUCCCCUUUCAAGUCAAUGAAAUUGAUCUGCCCGUGCAGAAGCGGACAUAUAAAUACAAGACGAGAAGACCCUUUGGAGCUUAAGAUAUAAAAUCAACUACGUCAAGAGUGCAAACCAAACUAAGUAACACCUGAUUACAUAUCUUCGGUUGGGGCGACCACGGGAGAAAACAAAGCUCCCAUGAGGACUGGGGUUUUACCCUAAAACCAAGAAAGACAUUUCUAAGUCACAGAACAUCUGACCAUAAAGAUCCGGCCACCCGCCGAUCAACGAACCAAGUUACCCUAGGGAUAACAGCGCAAUCCCCUUUAAGAGUCCAUAUCGACAAGGGGGUUUACGACCUCGAUGUUGGAUCAGGACAUCCUAUUGGUGCAGCCGCUAUUAAGGGUUCGUUUGUUCAACGAUWAAAGMCCUACGWGAUCU
rnacentral:rRNA from 1 species